UACGGAGGGUGCGAGCGUUGUCCGGAAUCACUGGGCGUAAAGGGCGCGUAGGUGGCGUCGCAAGUCAACGGUGAAAGCUCGACGCUCAACGUCGAGUCGGCCGUCGAGACUGCGAGGCUUGAGCACUGUAGAGGCAGAUGGAAUUCCGGGUGUAGCGGUGGAAUGCGUAGAGAUCCGGAAGAACACCGGUGGCGAAGGCGGUCUGCUGGGCAGUUGCUGGACACUUGAG
rnacentral:rRNA from 1 species